rnacentral:rRNA from 1 species
AUUGAACGCUGGCGGCAGGCCUAACACAUGCAAGUCGAGCGGAGUGGCGGACGGGUGAGUAAUGCCUAGGAAUCUGCCUGGUAGUGGGGGAUAACGUCCGGAAAGGGGCGCUAAUACCGCAUACUAUCAGAUGAGGCUAGGUCGUAUUAGGUAGCUGGUGGGGUAAGGGCCUACCGAGGCGACGAUCCGUAACUGGUCUGAGAGGAUGAUCAGUCACACUGUAACUGAGACACGGUCCAGACUCCUCCGGGAGGCAGCAGUGGGGAAUAUUGCACAAUGGGCGAAAGCCUGAUCCAGCCAUGCCGCGUGUGUGAAGAAGGUCUUCGGAUUGUAAAGCACUUUAAGUUGGGAGGCGUUACCAACAGAAUAAGCACCGGCUAACUUCGUGCCAGCAGCCGCGGUAAUUC